rnacentral:rRNA from 1 species
CUUGGUCAUUUAGAGGAAGUAAAAGUCGUAACAAGGUUUCCGUAGGUGAACCUGCGGAAGGAUCAUUCAUAAUAAAGUGUUUUAUGGCACUUUUUUAAAAAAUCCAUAUCCACCUUGUGUGCAAUGUUUUUUAGAUCUAGCCAAAAUGAUAUUUUGGUUAGGUUUUAUUAUAUUACAUCAACUCUUAUUUAACUUGAUUUGUCUGAAAAAUAUUAUGAAUUUUUUAACUUAAUUCAAAAUACAACUUUCAACAACGGAUCUCUUGGCUCUCGCAUCGAUGAAGAACGCAGCGAAAUGCGAUACGUAAUGUGAAUUGCAGAAUUCAGUGAAUCAUCGAAUCUUUGAACGCAUAUUGCGCUCUCUGGUAUUCCGGAGAGCAUGCUUGUUUGAGUAUCAGUAAACACCCUCAGAGCUUUUUUUUUUCCUUGAUUUUCGAAUCUUGGGGCUCUGGAUUUGAGUGAUCCCAACGCGGUCUUUUUCGAAAGGACAUGGCGGGCCACUUGAAAUACAGGUGCAGCUGAACUUUCUUCUGAGCUAAAAGCAUAUUUAUUUAGUCCUGUCAGCACAUGUGCUGCCGGAUUAUUACUUCUGCUGCAGCUUACAUAAAGGUUGACUGUUCAAAUGCUGACUGAUACAGAAUUUUUAGCACAGAAAGCGCAAGCGGAUCUGUGCUGUUAAACUCGAUCUCAAAUCAAGUAAGACUACCCGCUGAACUUAAGCAUAUCAAUAAGCGGAGGA